rnacentral:tRNA from 1 species
UGCGGGGUGGAGCAGCUUGGUAGCUCGUCGGGCUCAUAACCCGAAGGUCAUAGGUUCAAAUCCUGUCCCCGCUACCA